AGCUGAUCAUUGGGUGUAAAGGGUGCGCAGGCGGUUUUGUAAGACAGAGGUGAAAUCCCCGGGCUCAACCUGGGAACUGCCUUUGUGACUGCAAGGCUGGAGUGCGGCAGAGGGGGAUGGAAUUCCGCGUGUAGCAGUGAAAUGCGUAGAUAUGCGGAGGAACACCGAUGGCGAAGGCAAUCCCCCGGGCCUGCACUGACGCUCAUGCACGAAAGCGUGGGGAGCAAACA
rnacentral:rRNA from 1 species